rnacentral:rRNA from 1 species
GGAGAAAAGCAGGGGAUCGCAAGACCUUGCGCUCAUUGAGCGGCCGAUGCCUGAUUAGCUAGUUGGUGAGGUAAAGGCUUACCAAGGCGACGAUCAGUAGCUGGUCUGAGAGGACAACCAGCCACACUGGGACUGAGACACGGCCCAGACUCCUACGGGAGGCAGCAGUGGGGAAUUUUGGACAAUGGGGGAAACCCUGAUCCAGCCAUGCCGCGUGAGUGAAGAAGGCCUUCGGGUUGUAAAGCUCUUUCAGCCGGAACGAAACGGUCACGGCUAAUACCUGUGACUACUGACGGUACCGGAAGGAGAAGCACCGGCUAACUACGUGCCAGCAGCCGCGGUAAUACGUAGGGUGCGAGCGUUAAUCGGAAUUACUGGGCGUAAAGCGUGCGCAGGCGGUUUUGUAAGUUAAAGGGAAAUCCCCGGGCUUAACC